rnacentral:rRNA from 1 species
UCAGUGAAAUUGAACUCGCUGUGAAGAUGCAGUGUACCCGCGGCAAGACGGAAAGACCCCGUGAACCUUUACUAUAGCUUGACACUGAACAUUGAGCCUUGAUGUGUAGGAUAGGUGGGAGGCUUUGAAGUGUGGACGCCAGUCUGCAUGGAGCCGACCUUGAAAUACCACCCUUUAAUGUUUGAUGUUCUAACGUUGGCCCGUAAUCCGGGUUGCGGACAGUGUCUGGUGGGUAGUUUGACUGGGGCGGUCUCCUCCUAAAGAGUAACGGAGGAGCACGAAGGUUGGCUAAUCCUGGUCGGACAUCAGGAGGUUAGUGCAAUGGCAUAAGCCAGCUUGACUGCGAGCGUGACGGCGCGAGCAGGUGCGAAAGCAGGUCAUAGUGAUCCGGUGGUUCUGAAUGGAAGGGCCAUCGCUCAACGGAUAAAAGGUACUCCGGGGAUAACAGGCUGAUACCGCCCAAGAGUUCAUAUCGACGGCGGUGUUUGGCACCUCGAUGUCGGCUCAUCACAUCCUGGGGCUGAAGUAGGUCCCAAGGGUAUGGCUGUUCGCCAUUUAAAGUGGUACGCGAGCUGGGUUUAGAACGUCGUGAGACAGUUCGGUCCCUAUCUGCCGUGGGCGCUGGAGAACUGAGGGGGGCUGCUCCUAGUACGAGAGGACCGGAGUGGACGCAUCACUGGUGUUCGGGUUGUCAUGCCAAUGGCACUGCCCGGUAGCUAAAUGCGGAAGAGAUAAGUGCUGAAAGCAUCUAAGCACGAAACUUGCCCCGAGAUG